rnacentral:rRNA from 1 species
UACAGGGGGGUGACAACUGUUGCUACGGAAUUCGAUUGGGCGUAAAGGCGCACGUAGGCGGUUCGUUAUGUCGGAUGUGAAAACCCUUGGCUUAACCGAGGAAGUGCAUCCGAAACUGGCGAGCUAGAGUACUAAAGAGGAUCGCGGAAUUCCCGGUGUAGAGGUGAAAAUUCGUAGAUAUCGGGAGGAACACCGGUGGCGAAGGCGGCGAUCUGGGUAGAUAC